GUUGCUAAACCACGAUGAUAUCGAACGAACUUGCCGGGGUUUUUGGGAUGCGAUAUUCAUCACCGUUCCUCUUAAAACCGUUCAUAAUCACAUCUGAACUAGAUAUUCUGUUCGGUUCAUGACUCCGCUGCCAUACAUCUGUUCGCCGCCACCGGUCCCGUCCUGUUAUUCAGACCGUCGUAGCCGCACUCCGUCAUCGGUUUAGCUCCAUCACCACGUUACCCUGUCGUGACCAUCACCUCAUCAUUCAGGCCGCGACCAUAGUUGCUGCUUUGAUUCGUUUCCGUUCGAUCGUUAGAGGACUUUUAUUGUUUAUUUCCGGCGGCUCAGUUCGUAAACGAAGGUACCUAAAUCGAGCUCUCUGAUUCGAAUAUAGAUAUAAGAAUUCCAGUUUUGCUCUUUCUGUUCUGAUGGUUUCGG
rnacentral:lncRNA from 1 species